AUAAUUAAAGGAGAGCUUGGAGAGAUCGUGGCUGAACUUGAAGAGAGUAGAAGAAAACUAGUCAGGCUGAAAAUGCAAAAGGAUGCAGCUAUGGGAAUGAAUUCCUCCAAUGCUGAUGCUAUGAAUGGAAGCUUGUCUGCUGAGAAGCCUGCAGAGAGAGCCAUGGUUUUGUCUGUGUUGAAGAAUUCAAUUGAGGAAGCCAAGAUAGUGAAUUCUGAUCGUCUUUCUGAGCUUCAAGAUGCACGGGAAGGAAAUCAAAUAUUAACAAAGCAAUUCCAAGAACUUCAGAAUGAACUAAAUGAUGAUAAUAUGUACACACUUCCCGAGUAUACUCUAUGGAAAAUGAUCAACUUCAACAUUGGAUCGCUGAAUUGGAUAGAUAUAAAUCAUUAACAGUGUCUCUGCAGGCUGGCAGGGUUAACGUCGCAAAGUGGAAGAGGCCAAAGAGGAUACUGGGAGAAAUGAUAUCAAAGCUGAGUUUCGUGUGAUAUCUUCAGCUUUAUCUAAAGAAAUGGGGAUGAUGGAAACACAGUUGAAGCGAUCGAAAGAUGCAGCUCUUAAAGCUGUAGCAUUGCGUGAGAAAGCACAUUCAUUCAGCGAAAUUGAGU